rnacentral:rRNA from 1 species
GACGAACGCUGGCGGCGUGCUUAACACAUGCAAGUCGAACGGCAAGGCCCUGCUUUUGUGGUGUGCUCGAGUGGCGAACGGGUGAGUAACACGUGAGUAACCUGCCCUUGACUUUGGUAUAACUUCAGGAAACUGGGGCUAAUACCGGAUAGGAGCUCCUGCUGCAUGGUGGGGGUUGGAAAGUUUCGGCGGUUGGGGAUGGACUCGCGGCUUAUCAGCUUGUUGGUGGGGUAGUGGCUUACCAAGGCUUUGACGGGUAGCCGGCCUGAGAGGGUGACCGGGCACAUGGGGACUGAGAGAGGGCCCAGACGCGUACGGGAGGCAGCAGGGGGGAAUAUUGCACAAUGGGCGGAAGCCUGAUGCAGAAACGCCGCGGGCGGGAUGACGGCCUGCGGGUUGUAAACCGCUUUCGCCUGUGACGAAGCGGGAGUGACGGUAAUGGGUAAAGAAGCACCGGCUAACUACGUG